rfam:Stegodyphus mimosarum contig58882, whole genome shotgun sequence.
GUCUUUGUGGUGUAGUGGUCAGCACGCUCGACGCGUGACCGAGAGAUCCGUGGUUCGAGUCCCGGGGAAGACG